UCGGGAAUUUUGGGCAAUGGGCGAAAGCCUGACCCAGCAACGCCGCGUGAAGGAUGAAGUAUUUCGGUAUGUAAACUUCGAAAGAAUAGGAAGAAUAAAUGACGGUACUAUUUAUAAGGUCCGGCUAACUACGUGCCAGCAGCCGCGGUAAUACGUAGGGACCAAGCGUUGUUCGGAUUUACUGGGCGUAAGGGGCGCGUAGGCGGCAAUUCAAGUCAUCUGUGAAAUCUCCGGGCUUAACUCGGAACGGUCAGAUGAUACUGCUUUGCUAGAGUGCAGAAGGGGCAAUCGGAAUUCUUGGUGUAGCGGUGAAAUGCGUAGAUAUCAAGAGGAACACCUGAGGUGAAGACGGGUUGCUGGGCUGACACUGACGCUGAGGCGCGAAAGCCAGGGGAGCAAACGGGAUUAGAUACCCCUGUAGUCCCUGAGCGGGCUGGCAAGGCGCAU
rnacentral:rRNA from 1 species